rnacentral:rRNA from 1 species
AACGAACGCUGGCGGCAGGCCUAACACAUGCAAGUCGAACGCCCCGCAAGGGGAGUGGCGCACGGGUGAGUAACGCGUGGGAAUAUGCCCUUCGGUUCGGAAUAACACAGGGAAACUUGUGCUAAUACCGGAUACGAUCUACGGAUGAAAGAUUUAUCGCCGAGGGAGUAGCCCGCGUAGGAUUAGCUAGUUGGUGAGGUAAUGGCUCACCAAGGCGACGAUCCUUAGCUGGUCUGAGAGGAUGAUCAGCCACACUGGGACUGAGACACGGCCCAGACUCCUACGGGAGGCAGCGGUGGGGAAUAUUGGACAAUGGGCGAAAGCCUGAUCCAGCCAUGCCGCGUGAGUGAUGAAGGCCUUAGGGUUGUAAAGCUCCUUCGCCAGGGAAGAUAAUGACGGUACCUGGAAAAGAAGCCUCGGCUAACUCCGUGCCAGCCGCCGCAGUAA